UACGUAGGGGGCGAGCGUUGUCCGAAGUUACUGGGCGUAAAGCGCACGUAGGCGGCUUAGCAAGUCGGAUGUGAAAUCCCUCGGCUCAACCAAGGAAGUGCAUCCGAAACUGCUGAGCUUGAGUACGAAAGAGGAUCGCGGAAUUCCCGGUGUAGAGGUGAAAUUCGUAGAUAUCGGGAGGAACACCAGUGGCGAAGGCGGCGAUCUGGGUCGAUACUGACGCUGAGGUGCGAAAGCGUGGGGAGCAAACAGG
rnacentral:rRNA from 1 species